rfam:Pseudovibrio sp. FO-BEG1, complete genome.
UCCCCGGUAGCUCAGUGGUAGAGCAAGCGGCUGUUAACCGCUUGGUCGCUGGUUCGAAUCCGGCCCGGGGAG